rnacentral:rRNA from 1 species
UACGUAGGGUGCGAGCGUUGUCCGGAAUUAUUGGGCGUAAAGGGCUCGUAGGCGGUCUGUCGCGUCGGGAGUGAAAACUCAGGGCUUAACCCUGAGCCUGCUUCCGAUACGGGCAGACUAGAGGUAUGCAGGGGAGAACGGAAUUCCUGGUGUAGCGGUGGAAUGCGCAGAUAUCAGGAGGAACACCGGUGGCGAAGGCGGCCACCUGGGCUAAGACUGACGCUGAGGUGCGAAAGCGUGGGGAGCGAACGGG